rnacentral:tmRNA from 1 species
GGGGAUGUAUUGGUAUUCGAUAGGAUGGUUUUAAGUGCAGUAUGUUGCAGUUCAGGGGUUGCUCUGUCCCCCUGUAGAUCCGUCAGAGCAAAUUAAGUGCUAAUAACACUGUUUCUGAGCAAAACUACAAAUACGCUUUUGCGCGUGUGCCAGCUUUUGCUUAAUUUCCGACUUUUUUCGGAAUCGUUCAUACUUGGGAUAUCUGCUAGCUUGUAUGGGCGUAAUUUAGCGGGUUAAGGUUUUAUACUUUCUUCUAGGGUAUAGAGCUCGAAAAUUUUUUAGAAUAAGCGAUGUUGUUUUUUGUUUUUCCUUUAUGCCAUCGACGAAAAUUUUAGGAAAAAAUAUAACUGUAGAAGCUACUCCACUUCAUCUCUACACCCGGGUUCGACUCCCGGCAUCUCCACCA